GUCCUUGUCGAUUAGUGGUUAGAUCAUCACGUUGUGGUCGCUCGCAAUUCCGUGAAGACGCAGGCUCGAAUCCUGCCUGGGACA